GACGAACGCUGGCGGCGUGCUUAACACAUGCAAGUCGAACGGAAAGGCCCUGCUUUUGUGGGGUGCUCGAGUGGCGAACGGGUGAGUAACACGUGAGUAACCUGCCCUUGACUUUGGGAUAACUUCAGGAAACUGGGGCUAAUACCGGAUAGGAGCUCCUGCUGCAUGGUGGGGGUUGGAAAGUUUUGGCGGUUGGGGAUGGACUCGCGGCUUAUCAGCUUGUUGGUGGGGUAGUGGCUUACCAAGGCUUUGACGGGUAGCCGGCCUGAGAGGGUGACCGGCCACAUUGGGACUGAGAUACGGCCCAGACUCCUACGGGAGGCAGCAGUGGGGAAUAUUGCACAAUGGGCGGAAGCCUGAUGCAGCAACGCCGCGUGCGGGAUGACGGCCUUCGGGUUGUAAACCGCUUUCGCCUGUGACGAAGCGUGAGUGACGGUAAUGGGUAAAGAAGCACCGGCUAACUACGU
rnacentral:rRNA from 1 species